rnacentral:lncRNA from 1 species
CUGCUGUUGAUGUACAUUGUAUUGAGCUUCUACACAAAAAAAGGAUACGAUCUCCACAAAAUAGAUUGUAGCGGUUUCAAUUUUAAAAGUCAAAAAACCUCAAUAAACUCAAACAUCUUCAAGUAGCAUUAGAUGGUGGCAAGUCACUGCAAGUUCUCUUGUUGUGGCCUACUAGUUCACACUUCUUGCACUUCAUCUUCAAACCUACCCUACUUGCAUUCCCUGUUGAUGCACCCGCACUGCUUGAAGAUGCCUUCACAUUGCUUGAUGAACCUCUGCCUUCAUGUUCAUUAGCUUCCUUUCGUCUUGCCUUUUUUGGUCUCCCCGCCUUUUUUAAGUCGAAAGGUGGUUUCAAAGAGUCUGGGUUAGGCCAUAAAUCUGGACUUGUCAUUGGUGAAAUAGAUGGUGUAUAUGUUCUAAUGUAUGCCUCUUUCUUGUAGAUGUCAUCUAUAUAGUCAAUAACACUCAUUCCCCUUGAAGUUAGAGAUGCAAUCACAUGACAACAUGGGAUCCUAGUCAAUUGCCAAGCUCGACAAGAACAAAUUUUUGCUAUGACAUCCACUACAUUUAGGGUUCCAACAUGAACCCAAGUUUUUUUUUAAGCAAAUUACAUGAUCACCACAAUAUUAAAUAAACUCUUGUAUUAAGUGGUAAUCUUGAAACAACACAAACUAAUCAAACUUGAGCUAAGAACUUCAAAGCCAAAAGUAUUCUUGUAAAAUGGAAAAAACUUGGCUAAAAUACCUAUCAUUCCAUAUGAAUUCAAGCAUAAACCUCAAAGAACUCCAUAGAAAAUAUACAAAAUCACUAGGAUUACAUAUUUAUUACUCAUCUGGAGGAGUAGAAUGGAGUGCAAAUGGGUAGGAGACUAGGGUUCUUCGCUGGAAAUGAAGAAAUUGGGAAAAUGGUGCUCAAUUCACUUCUUUCAGUUCUUUGGCAGUG